rnacentral:rRNA from 1 species
UGGGGAAUAUUGGACAAUGGGCGCAAGCCUGAUCCAGCCAUGCCGCGUGCAGGAUGAAGUAUUUCGGUAUGUAAACUUCGAAAGAAUAGGAAGAAUAAAUGACGGUACUAUUUAUAAGGUCCGGCUAACUACGUGCCAGCAGCCGCGGUAAUACGUAGGGACCAAGCGUUGUUCGGAUUUACUGGGCGUAAAGGGCGCGUAGGCGGCAAUUCAAGUCAUCUGUGAAAUCUCCGGGCUUAACUCGGAACGGUCAGAUGAUACUGCUUUGCUAGAGUGCAGAAGGGGCAAUCGGAAUUCUUGGUGUAGCGGUGAAAUGCGUAGAUAUCGGAAAGAACAUCAGUGGCGAAGGCGGCUUCCUGGACUCAUACUGACGCUGAGGCACGAAAGCAUGGGGAGCAAACAGGAUUAGAUACCCGCGUAGUCCCUGAGCGGGCUGGCAAGGCGCAU